ensembl:lncRNA
CCCCGCCCCCAGCAGCUGGGGAUUCCUGCCAGGCUCGGGCGGGGGGCGGGGCCCAGAGCCCGCAAGGCAUCUUGGGAACGCAGAGAUGAGGGUCCCGGUGGCUUGAGGGAGGCAGAGAUGGGGGUCCCCGGGGCUUGAUGGGGGGAAGGUGGGGGUCCCCGGGGCUCGAUGGAGGGGAGGUGGGGGGUCCCCGGGGCUCUAUGGGUGCGGAGACGGGUGUCCCCGGGGCUCGAUGGGUGCGGAGACGGGUGUCCCCGGGGCUCGAUGGGUGCGGAGUUGGGGGUCUCUAGGACUUGAUGGGGGCGGAGAUGGGGGUCCCAGGGGCUCGAUGGGUGCGGAGACGGGUGUCCCCGGGGCUUGAUGGGGGCGGAGAUGAGGUCCCCGGAAUGCAGUGCGGGUGUGUGGAGAUGGGGGGGGUCUCGGGGCGCGGUGGUCUGUGCAGAUGGAGCUCCCGGGAAAGCAGUGUGGGUGUGUGGAGAUGAGGGUUUUCGGGGCGCGGUGGUCGGUGCAGAUGGUGGUCCCCAGAGUGCAGUGGGGGUCUGUGGAGAUAAAGGUCCCCGGCCUGCGCUGGGGGUGCAGGCCCUUCUCAGCCUAAGCACUACUGACCCUCGGGGCCGGAUCAUGCAUUUUCGUGGGGCUGCCCUGGGCGGCUGCAGCGCAUUCAGUAGCGACUCUGGUCUGUGUCCACUAGAUGGCGGUAGGUGCCCACUAAUGGUGAGAAUCCGGACGUCCGCACGCGUCCUGUCCACCGGGGAACUGAAUCACCCCUCACUGAGUGCCCCGGCUAGACAGGGCUGGAGAGAAACCAACAGAUCUGACUGACGGAUGGAUGGAUACAUACGUAGAUAAUGAGAGAUGACAGAUUAAGUAGGUUCGAGAAAAGAGAUGUCAUACUCUAACCACCUGACGCAAAGAGCUGACUUUUUGGGAAAGACCUUGAUGCUGGGAGAUUGAAGGCGGGAGGAGAAGGGGAUGGAUGACAGAGGAGGAGAUGGUUGGAUGGCAUCACUGACUCGAUGGACAUGAGUUUCAGCAGAGUUCGGGAGAUGGUGAAGGACAGGGAAGCCUGGUGUGCUGCAGUCCAUGGGGUCGCAAAGAGUCGGACACGACUGAGCGACUGAACAAGAACAAUAUUAUUAACCUGCUGAAACAGAAGGAAAUCCAGCCCUGGGAUUUUCAGUGAUCCGACAGGCACCCCUCGGAAAGGCCGACGGGUCCCUGAAGAUGCUGUUGGAUACUGGGCAACUUCAGUGGAACUGGGGGUCCUUGGGAUGCAGAAAUCAGGGAGAUGUCGGUGGCCCAGAGGGGCUGGACAACGAACUGUUGGUGACGAUGGUGACGAAAUGUGACCUGAGCUCUCUGGGACCCAAAGGCUGGAUGGACGUCACACCCGUUGAGGGCUGGGGGGUGGGGGUGGUGAGGGGCAGUGUUAUUGCUUAGACCGGCUUCCUCCGAAUUCAAAUGGUGAUGCUUGUUCUCAGCUCAGCAAGAAGACGGUUCCGUGAGGGUGGUUUGAGGUUUUUCACAGCUUUUUAGUCAGACGCUGGAAGCCCACGCCCAGGACGUGGCCGCCACUGUCUUGCUGGGUCAGGGUUUUUCUGCCUCCGGACUGUUGUCUUGGCGACCUGACUUUCUAGGGGCUUGGCUCUGGGAACAGUUGGGAAGAGCGGGUGGACCACACACCAUCCUGGGGCGAUCCGAGUCUUUGAAGCCAGCCCUUCUCCAGCCACCCGUGGGCGCACGUCCUUUCUCGGGCGGGGGGCGUGUCUGGUCGGCAUUCUGAAAGCAGCAGACGGUGGGUCUCUGCCCUGUGCAAACACUGCGGACUCGGGGAGGAUGGAUGCCCUGUGCAAACACUGCGGACUGGCUUG